AUUCUAGAGAUAACACAUGCUGUUUAGCCUGACUUCUUGAAGGCCGGUAUUUAUUAGAUACCAGACCAAUAUUCUUGGUUUUUAUUGGGGUGAUUCAUAGUAAUUGAUGGGAUCCCACGGGUGGGCCCGCGACAAACCAUUCAAGUUUCUGCCCCAUCAGCUUUCGAUGGUAGUGUAUUGGACUACCAUGGCUUUUACGGGUAACGGAGGAUUAGGGUUCGAUUCCGGAGAGGGAGCCUGAGAAACGGCUACCACAUCUAAGGAAGGCAGCAGGCGCGUAAAUUACCCAAUCCUGACUCAGGGAGGUAGUG
rnacentral:rRNA from 1 species